UACGUAGGGCGCAAGCGUUGUCCGGAAUCACUGGGCGUAAAGCGCACGUAGGCGGAUGUGUCAGUCAGGGGUGAAAUCCCGGGGCUCAACCUCGGAACUGCCUUUGAUACAGCACGUCUCGAGUCCGGAAGAGGUGGGUGGAAUUCCUAGUGUAGAGGUGAAAUUCGUAGAUAUUAGGAAGAACACCGGUGGCGAAGGCGGCCCACUGGUCCGGUACUGACGCUGAGGUGCGAAAGCGUGGGGAGCAAACAGG
rnacentral:rRNA from 1 species